CCCCCCCUUGGUGUGAGGGGGGGGGAGGGAAGAUGGCGGCUGCUGAGGGGCAAUGGCGGGAAGGGGGGAGGGGGGGUGGAAAUGGCCGCCUGCAGUGGCCGUUCCUCGAGCUCGCUGAGGCGACGGGAGGAAACGCGAUGAAAGGGCGCCGCCGCCGCUCCUGCUUUGCAUGCCGAAACCGCAGCGCCGGCCGUCACCUGAGGCGCUGUCCAGGAAAGCGCCGCUUCCCCUUUUUUCCCCUCCCUCUUCGUUUUCCUCCCUGCAGUUUCUGGCCUUCCUUUGCGAAUAAACUUGAGAGCAGCAUGGGUUUGGACAGCAUCUGUGAACACUUCAAAACAUUUUGAGAAACAAGAUGAGAAAGCUGCAGGCAGACCUCAUCGCUCCCUACAACUACCUGGAAGGAGGUUGUGGUCAACACCUGGUAUACAAAGAAUGCAAAGGUUUUAGGAGCAUCACAUUCAGAUCAGCAGUGCUUUAUGCAUUUUUAAGUGAGUCCCUCAGCCUUGAAAUAAAACAAAAUGACUGAAAAAAAAAAAGAGAUUUUUCUGCUGGAUCUUAAUGAGUUAACCUCUUCCACCUGCAACAUUUCCUCCAAAGCAAGCACCAAGUUUAUUUUUAUAGCUGAAUUCCCAAAUAACAGAUGAAAGAAGAUACUAAGAAAAGAUGCUGGCUUUUAAAAUGUGGGGAAGGAGCCUUAAUCUUUGCAAGGUAAAUUUGUUCUGUUACCUUCUGAGUGAGUCAUCUAUCUACCAAAGGGGUAUAGUUCACCUUCUAAGCUCUUGAAAUAGUUUUUUGUAAUGGAUUUGUUCUCUCAUCAGACACUUUCCUUCAGUAGCUGCCUUAAAAGGGCUUAAAUUCUUCUAGUUACGGCCUGACUGCCUCAUUUCAUCUUACACAUCUUCAGCUGAGAAAAGUGUUGAAGCAUUAGCUUUUUCUCCAAAGAGGAAUUAUAGCAUGGAGAUUUGAACAGGAAUGCUGAAAACUGCAAGCUCAUACUUAUGAUCAUGGAGCAAUUAUUAACCACAAUAGUUGACUCUGCUACUUACAAAUAGUAGAGUUGGUAUGUGUGGUGCAAUUGCCUAAACUAGGAAAAUAAAACUAACAUUCACAUUUCAAAGAAAAUGUACAGCAUUGAAGAGGCUUUCAGGGUAGGGUGUAGUUCUAUUACCUAAGCGUUCCUUAGGCUUCCAACCUCAGAUGCUGUCGUGCUGGGGAAAUCUGGUGUGCUAGCUCUAAGGAACAGUACGGAGCGUAGAGUGGAGUGGAGACACCAUGGCUAGGCUCUGUGACCAGGUGGAGACUCAAUUGUUCUUGUGCACACUGAGACUGGUAAGCU